rnacentral:rRNA from 5 species
UGGGGAAUAUUGGACAAUGGGCGAAAGCCUGAUCCAGCAAUGCCGCGUGGGUGAAGAAGGUCUUCGGAUCGUAAAGCCCUUUCGACGGGGACGAUGAUGACGGUACCCGUAGAAGAAGCCCCGGCUAACUUCGUGCCAGCAGCCGCGGUAAUACGAAGGGGGCUAGCGUUGCUCGGAAUUACUGGGCGUAAAGGGCGCGUAGGCGGCGGCCCAAGUCAGGCGUGAAAUUCCUGGGCUCAACCUGGGGACUGCGCUUGAUACUGGGUUGCUUGAGGAUGGAAGAGGCUCGUGGAAUUCCCAGUGUAGAGGUGAAAUUCGUAGAUAUUGGGAAGAACACCGGUGGCGAAGGCGGCGAGCUGGUCCAUUACUGACGCUGAGGCGCGACAGCGUGGGGAGCAAACAGG